rnacentral:rRNA from 1 species
UACGGAGGUCCCAAGCGUUGUUCGGAUUCAUUGGGCGUAAAGAGCGUGUAGGCGGUCCGGUAAGUCCGCUGUGAAAGUCGGGGGCUCAACCCUCGAAUGCCGGUGGAUACUGUCGGGCUAGAGUGCGGAAGAGGCGAGUGGAAUUCCUGGUGUAGCGGUGAAAUGCGCAGAUAUCAGGAGGAACACCAAUUGCGAAGGCAGCUCGCUGGGACGUAACUGACGCUGAGACGCGAAAGCGUGGGGAGCAAACAGG